GAGGCUAUAGCUCAGGUGUAGAGUGCAUGUUUAGCAAGCAUAACGUCCUGGGUUCAAUCCCCAGUGCCUCCA
rnacentral:tRNA from 1 species